rnacentral:rRNA from 1 species
CCGGCACGGGUGAGUAACACGUAUCCAACCUGCGUCUACUCUUGGCCAGCCUUCUGAAAGGAAGAUUAAUCCAGGAUGGCAUCAUGAGUUCACAUGUCCGCAUGAUUAAAGGUAUUUUCCGGUAGACGAUGGGGAUGCGUUCCAUUAGAUAGUAGGCGGGGUAACGGCCCACCUAGUCAACGAUGGAUAGGGGUUCUGAGAGGAAGGUCCCCCACAUUGGAACUGAGACACGGUCCAA